rnacentral:rRNA from 1 species
GCGCGCAAAUUACCCAAUCCCGACUCGGGGAGGUAGUGACAAUAAAUACUGAUACAGGGCUCUUUUGGGUCUUGUAAUUGGAAUGAGUACAAUUUAAAUCCCUUAACGAGGAACAAUUGGAGGGCAAGUCUGGUGCCAGCAGCCGCGGUAAUUCCAGCUCCAAUAGCGUAUAUUAAAGUUGUUGUGGUUAAAAAGCUCGUAGUUGAACCUUGGGCCUGGCUGGCCGGUCCGCCUCACCGCGUGUACUGGUCCGGCCGGGCCUUUCCCUCUGUGGAACCCCAUGCCCUUCACUGGGUGUGGCGGGGAAACAGGACUUUUACUUUGAAAAAAUUAGAGUGCUCCAGGCAGGCCUAUGCUCGAAUACAUUAGCAUGGAAUAAUAAAAUAGGACGUGUGGUUCUAUUUUGUUGGUUUCUAGGACCGCCGUAAUGAUUAAUAGGGACAGUCGGGGGCAUCAGUAUUCAAUUGUCAGAGGUGAAAUUCUUGGAUUUAUUGAAGACUAACUACUGCGAAAGCAUUUGCCAAGGAUGUUUUCAUUAAUCAGGAACGAAAGUUAGGGGAUCGAAGACGAUCAGAUACCGUCGUAGUCUUAACCAUAAACUAUGCCGACUAGGGAUCGGACGAUGUUAUUAUUUGACUCGUUCGGCACCUUACGAGAAAUCAAAGUGCUUGG